rnacentral:rRNA from 1 species
GUGCCAGCAGCCGCGGUAAGACAGAGGUGGCAAGCGUUGUUCGGAAUCACUGGGCUUAAAGGGCACGUAGGCGGCCCGGCAAGUCGGAUGUGAAAUCCCCUGGCUUAACCAGGGAACUGCAUCCGAAACUACCGGGCUCGAGCGCAGGAGGGGAGAGCGGAACUCCUAGUGGAGCGGUGAAAUGCGUAGAUAUUAGGAGGAACGCCGGUGGCGAAAGCGGCUCUCUGGCCUGCAGCUGACGCUGAGGUGCGAAAGCUAGGGGAGCAAACAGGAUUAGAAACCCCCGUAGUCC